rnacentral:rRNA from 1 species
UGCAGUCGAGCGGUAACAGACAUAAAGAUUCAGCUUGCUAAAUCCGGUGCUGACGAGCGGCGAACGGGUGAGUAACGCGUAGGAAUCUACCCAGUAGCGGGGGAUAGCCCGGGGAAACCCGGAUUAAUACCGCAUACGCCCUAAGGGGGAAAGGGGGCAGCUUGCUGCUCUCACUAUUGGAUGAGCCUGCGUAAGAUUAGCUUGUUGGUGGGGUAAAGGCCUACCAAGGCAACGAUCUUUAGCUGGUCUGAGAGGAUGAUCAGCCACAUUGGGACUGAGACACGGCCCAGACAUCUACGGAUGGCAGCAGUUAAGAAUAUUGGACAAUGGGGGCAACCCUGAUCCAGGUAUACCGCGUGUGUGAAGAAGGCUCUAGGGUUGUAAAGCACUUUAAUCAGAGAAGAAGCAUUUUAAAUUAAUACCUUAAUUUGUUGACGUUACCUGAAGAAUAAGGACCGGCUAACUCCGUGCCAGCAGCCGCGGUAAUACGGAGGGUCCAAGCGUUAAUCGGAAUUACUGGGCGUAAAGCGCGCGUAGGCGGUUUAGCAAGUUGAAUGUGAAAGCCCUGGGCUCAACCUAGGAACUGCAUUCAAAACUACUAAACUAGAGUACGAGAGAGGAGAGUAGAAUUUCUGGUGUAGCGGUGAAAUGCGUAGAUAUCAGAAGGAAUACCAAUGGCGAAGGCAGCUCUCUGGCUCGUCACUGACGCU